rnacentral:lncRNA from 1 species
GAUAUCACAUGUCGAAAUCGAGAUUUAUUUAAAUAAACAGUACAAGCAAAUAUGAGCACGUGAUUCACUUUACAGUUACAGAAUCACCGAGUCAGAGAAAAUACAUCAAUAAUUCUCCUCUACAUUUUUUUUCCUUUCUUUUUCUUCUCUUUUUCUUUCCAUUAAACUUUGUUCCCCAACUUCUAUACACCACUAUCAUUAUGUUUUUUUUUUUCCCCCACCACACUCAUGUAUGCGCCAAUGAACUAUUAGUAUCAAACCCAGCCAACAAACAGCUCUCAAUCUCACUUCACUUCACCGAAAAAUAUCGAAGAGCAGUCCCAAUUCAUUCUGCUAAAAUCUCAAGGUAAGGCUUGGCCUCAAUAUUCAUUUUUUUUUAUCAAGUUCACCUGCAUUAACAGAAGACCAAUUCAUUUCAGUCAUUUCACAAGCUAUUCGAACUUCAACAGCCACCCAUCAGCUCGAAAACAUUCAAGGUAUUCUACUAUCUUGAAUAUGCAAUUCAGUUCACAUCCAUGCUUAGCAUAAUCAUAGUUCAUCUACACGAUAUAGUCAAGAUAUGCUGUACAAUAGGGAAAUACUUUACAACAGAAGAUUUUACAUGCUUCACUUUCACUACACUCCAGAGUAACAAUCACAAGAACUCACA